CGCAGCAAAACGCGAUAAGUAAUGUGAAUUGCAGAAUUUAGUGAAUCAUCAAAUCUUUGAACGCACAUUGCGCCUGCCA
rnacentral:rRNA from 1 species